UCGUCAGGUAUGUUGUAUAAAAAAGGUUUAUUUUAUUUAAUGUGAGACAUGAUCCCCGCCCUUUUGUCAUGUUGUCCUGCGGGAGAGGACUUGGAGCGGGCAGCUUGUAACUAUUGUUUUUCUGUUGGAUAUUUUCGUCAGAAUAAAUCUUUGAAAGCCAAACAGAGUCACGGCCUGACUAACAUCUGAUAACCAGCACAACGCAGAAGGGAUCCGGUUACACUAAGAUGGCCGAGUCAAUCUCCAGGCGUUGAUCCAAGAGAGAAUCUGCGGCAAAACUUGAAGACUGGUUGACGUCCGCCAUCGAAUCAGUAGAAAAGAGGCGGAGAAAAUGUCACUGUGUCUGUAAAGCUGUUUGGAGUCAGACGCAGAAUGACUCCAGACGUUUGCUCCACAAACAGUUGAAUAAUGAGGGACAAAAACAAUUUUACACCAAAAAAAUGUAAAAAAAAAAUCUGAAUAUAUAGCUACCCACCAGACUGUUUUGGUCUAUCACAUAUAAAAUCCUAAUGAGGUACAUGGAAGUUUGCGGACGUAGCACAGCAAAAAGCCGAAGGACGUGAAUACUCUCGCGUGUCGCCACGGCAAAUAAAAACACAGUUUGACAUUUAGAAGUACAGCGCUUGUUGGCUCGUCCAAACAAAAGCAGAGAAAGAGAAAGCUGCAGGAAGCGCUUCGCCUGGGACAAUGGUUGCAGAAUAAAAGCAAAGCUGAAGUACUGGUUUUUACAAAAGGUGUAAAAAUAGCUGCAGAACUAAUGGCUUGAAUCAGAAAAUAAAAGUACUGCAGGAGAACAAGCUCUUUCCCUUUGUACUAAAUAAUCUUGGUGAGAUUUACCUUUACAUUUUCGACACAAAGGCAAGUAGAAAGCCAGCAAAGCAUCUCCUGUGACUGUGUCUGUUUUGUUUUGUUUUGGAGCAGUUUAACUUUCUCUCAGCCCAUAAAUCCACAAUAUUAGGUGCAGUUUUGAGACCAAGAAUUUCCUCCAUAAAAAAAAUAAAGAAAUACAUGUGUGUAUAUAUAAACAACUAAAACAGCAGCCUGAAGCUGUGUCUGCUGCUUCGCUUGCCUUAACUCUGUCUGACCAGCACCGUUGUCACCAGGACCCAGUGGAGCUGCUUCCUCCACGCCGUACAAAGACACAGCAGUGCUCCGGCGGGAAGCGGCCGCAUCUAAAGUCAACAUGGCGGCCGCGUUCCCAGGCUUUGGAAAUUAAAAGGCGUAAUUAGGACUGCUGACAUCUGAUGGCCGAGCUGCAGGACGGGAUAUCAAUAUGGCAGCAUGUUUGUCUACAGGCUUCCUUGGAGAGGCGGGGUUCACCCUGGACAGGUCGCCAGUCCGUCGCAGGGCAACACAGAGACAGGACAAACAACCACACCUAAGGAGAAUUGAGAGAGCUCAAUCAACCUGACAGUCUUGGUUUUGGACUGUGGGAGGAAGCCGGAGUACCCGGAGAGAACCCACAGCAUGCACAGGGAGAACAUGCAAACUCCAUGCAGAAAGACCCUGGGUCGGGACUCGAACCCAGGACCUUGUGUUUUAAAUUUUGUUAUGAAAUGUGGUGAAAUUGAGCUUGUGUCCAGUUUGUGUGCGGUCUGCAGAGAUUUCAGCUACUCUGUGGAAGCGCUGUGUGGAGGGAAGGUCCGCCCUGGCAAUCAUCUCUGCAGGCCUAAUUUGCUCGUUGUUGUAUGGACCCGACACGUUUUGUGGAACGAGCCAAACCACACGGCGACGGACGGGAACAGGAGAGACUGAAUAAUUGGCAGCGUAGACGAUGACCAGCUGCUCCUGUGGGACGUUGUAAUUCAUAAAGGAUGCGCAGUCCACAAUGUGAGGAUCAUCUCCGUUGGGUUAUAGAUUGGACUUUUUCUACCCUUUUAAUAAAUGAAACAUUCGUUUAAAAAUCUACA